rnacentral:pre_miRNA from 1 species
CUCGUCUGUCUGUUGGGCCGGAGGCAGGGCCUUUGUGAAGGCGGGUUGUGCUCAGAUCGCCUCUGGGCCCUUCCUCCAGCCCAGAGGCAGAUUCA